rnacentral:rRNA from 1 species
UGGGGAAUAUUGCACAAUGGGCGAAAGCCUGACGGAGCAACGCCGCGUGAGUGAUGAAGGUCUUCGGAUCGUAAAACUCUGUUAUCAGGGAAGAACAAAUGUGUAAGUAACUGUGCACAUCUUGACGGUACCUGAUCAGAAAGCCACGGCUAACUACGUGCCAGCAGCCGCGGUAAUACGUAGGUGGCAAGCGUUAUCCGGAAUUAUUGGGCGUAAAGCGCGCGUAGGCGGUUUUUUAAGUCUGAUGUGAAAGCCCACGGCUCAACCGUGGAGGGUCAUUGGAAACUGGAAAACUUGAGUGCAGAAGAGGAAAGUGGAAUUCCAUGUGUAGCGGUGAAAUGCGCAGAGAUAUGGAGGAACACCAGUGGCGAAGGCGACUUUCUGGUCUGUAACUGACGCUGAUGUGCGAAAGCGUGGGGAUCAAACA